UGGAACCCAUCUGAUGGCUUCUUGGCUCUCAGCAGACAGUGCUUUCCCCGAAUACUGCUGGCUGGCAUCUGUGAGCUAUGCAAGCUCAACCAGCAGCUAGGCACUUAUAGGGGCUGUGCUUCCAAACGUCCGUUCCCAGGCAGGGCUGCCCGCACAGCACAGCCCAGGACAGGCAUACACCAUCCAUGGAGUGAUUCGACCUCUUGGUCUCCUUGUAGUUUUUUAUGUAACUUCCUUGACGCACUGCAGGCUCUGAACGAGCGUUCACUCACCCCCUCCCCCCCCAUCCUCUGUUCUCCCAGCCCCAUUAAACCUUGGAAGCCAAA
rnacentral:lncRNA from 1 species